rnacentral:lncRNA from 1 species
AAAAGGGGUGUAAAAAUGGCGUAGGAAGAGUUUACAAAGUGUAUAUAAAGGGUGUAUAAAGGGUGUACAAAGGGUAUUUAAAAGGUGUAUAAAGGGUGUACCAAAAGGUGUAUAAAGGGUGAAUAAAGGGUGUAAAAAUGGUAUAUAAAGGGAUUAGAAAAGAUGUAGAAAAUGUGUAGAAAAAAUGAUGGAAGGGUUUAGUGAGGUUGCAAGAAGAUGUAGAAUGAUGUAUAAAUGGUGUACAAAGCGUGUAUAAAGUGAGUAAAAUGAGUUUAGAAAGGGUUUAUUAAAGUUGUACAAGGGUGUAUAAAGGGUGUACAAAGGGUGUAUAAAGGGUGUACAAAGGGUUUAUAAAGUGGGUUGAAAGGGUUUAGAUACGAUGUAAGAAGAUGAAGAAAUAUGUAGAAAGAGUGUAAAAGUGUGUAUAAAGUGAGUACGAAGAAUUUAUAAAGCGUUUAUUAAAGUUGUACAAGGGGUUUAGAAAGGGUGUGCAAAGGCUGUAUAAAAGGUGUACAAAGGGUGUACAAUUAUUCCACCUCUUUUAAAAAAAUACGUAGAAAGAUUGCAGAAAGGAGUAAAAAGAGUAUAGAAAAGGGGUAGAAAGACGUGUAAAAAUGGUGGAGGAAGGGUGUAAAAAAUGUGUAUAAAGGGUGUACAAAUGGUGGAUAUAGGGUACACAAAGGGUGUACAAAGUAUGUACACCCAUUCUACAUAUUUUUAAAAAAUUUGUAGGAAGGGUGCAGAAGGGUGCACAAUUGAUAUAUAAAGGGGUUGGAAGUGAUGUAAAAGGGUGUAGAAAUAUGGUUGAAAUGGUUUAGUAAGGGUGUAAGAAGAUGAAAAAAUAUGUAGAAUGGGUGUACAAAAUGUGUAUAAAGUGAGUACGAGGGAUUUAUAAUGGGUUUAUUAAAGUUGUAAAAGGGGUGUAUAAAGGGUGUAGAAAGUAUGUAACAAGGGUGUAUAAAGGGUGUCUAAAGGGAAUACCAAAUGGUGCAGAAAGGGUGUACAAAAGGUGUUUAAAGGGUGUAUAAAGGGUGUACCAAAAGGUGUCUAAAGGGUGAAUAAAGGGUGUACAAAGAGUGUACACUCGUUCUACAUCUUUAUAAAAAAUAUGUAGAAAUGCUGUACAAAAGGUGUUUAAAGGGUGUACAGAGGGUGUAUAAAGGUUGUACAAAGGGUGUACACCCAUUCUACCUCUUUUUAAAAAAUAUGUAGAAAUGCUGCAGAAAGGAGUAAAAAGGGUAUAGAAAGGGAGUAGAAAAGGGUGUAAAAAUAGUGUAGGAAAGUUGUACAAAAUGUGUAUAAUUGAUGUAUAAAGGGCGGAUAAAGGGUGUACAAAAGGUGUUUAAAGGGUGUCUAAAGGGUUUACCAAAAGGUAUAUAAAGGGUAAAUAAAGGGUGUACAAAGAGUGUACACUCGUUCUACAUCUUUAUAAAAGAAUUGUAGAAAUUGUGCACAAAUGGUAUAUAAAGGGCUUGGAAGUAAUGUAGGAAGUGUGUAGAAAUAUCGUUGAAAGAGGUUAGUAAGAGUGUAAGAAGAUGAAGAAAGAUGUAGAAUUGGUGUACAAAGUGUGUAUAAAGUGAAUAUGAAGGAUUUAUAAAGGGUUUAAUAAAGGUUUACAAGGCGUGUAUAAAGGGUGUAGAAAGAGCGCACAAAGGUUGUAUAAAAGGUGUACAAAGUGUGUACACCCAUUCUAUCUCUUUUUAAAAAAUAUGUACAAAGGCUACAAAAAUGAGUAAAAAGAGUAUAGAAAGGGGUGUAAAAAUGGUGUAGGAAGGGUGUACAAAUGAUGGAUAAAGGGUCUAUAAAUGGUGGAUAAAGGGUCUACAAAGGGUGUUUAAAGGAUGUAUAAAGGGUGUACUAAAAUGUGUAUAAAGGAUGAAUAAAAGGUGUACAAAGUGUGUACACCUAUUCUACAUAUUUUUAAAAAAUUUGUAAAAAGGGUGCACAAAUAGCAUAUAAAGGGGUUGGAAGUGAUGUAGAAAGGGUGUAGAAAUACGGUUGAAAGGGUUUAGUAAAGGUGUAAGAAGAUGAAGAAAUAUGUAGAAAGGGUGUAUAAAUUGUGUAUAAAGUAAGUACAAAGGGUUUAUAAAUGUUGUUCAAGGGGUGUAUAAAUGGUAUAUAAUGGGUAUAUCAAAAGGUGCAUAAAGGGUGUACAAAAGGUUGUUAAAAGGUGUAUAAAGGGGGUACCAAAAGGUGUCUAAAGGGUAAAUAAAGGGUGUAUAAAUAAUGUACACUCGUUCUACAUCUUUUUAAAGAAUUUGUAGAAAGGGUUUAGUAACAUUUAGAAAGGGUGUAUAAAGUGAGUACUAAGGGUUUAUAAAGGAAUUAUAAAUGUUUUACAAGGGGUGUAUAAAGGGUGUACAAAGGGUGUAUAAAGGGUGUACAAAGGGUGUACACCCAUUCUACCUCUUUUUAAAAAAUAU